UGAGGAAUAUUGGUCAAUGGGCGCAAGCCUGAACCAGCCAUCCCGCGUGAAGGAUGACGGCCCUAUGGGUUGUAAACUUCUUUUAUGUACCAAGAAUAUGCCUUACGAGUAGGGUAUUGACGGUAGUGCAUGAAUAAGCAUCGGCUAACUCCGUGCCAGCAGCCGCGGUAAUACGGAGGAUGCGAGCGUUAUCCGGAUUCAUUGGGUUUAAAGGGUGCGUAGGCGGUUUAUUAAGUCAGUGGUGAAAUCCUGCGGCUCAACCGUAGAACUGCAAUUGAUACUGAGAAACUUGAAUAUAGUUGAGGUAGGCGGAAGGAGUAGUGUAGCGGUGAAAUGCGUAGAUAUGAGUCAGAACACCGAUUGCGAAGGCAGCUUGCUAAGCUAUUAUUGACGCUGAGGCACGAAAGCGUGGGGAUCAAACA
rnacentral:rRNA from 1 species